rnacentral:rRNA from 1 species
GGCAGGCCUAACACAUGCAAGUCGAGCGGCAGCGGGAAAGUAGCUUGCUAACUUUGCUGUCGAGCGGCGGACGGGUGAGUAAUGCUUGGGAAACUGCCCAGUCGAGGGGGACAACCAUUGGAAACGAUGGCUAAUACCGCAUACGCCCUAUGGGGGAAAGAAGGGGACUCUUGGGCCUCUCGCGAUUGGAUAAGCCUAAGUGAGAUUAGCUAGUUGGUGAGGUAAGAGCUCACCAAGGCGACGAUCUCUAGCUGGUCUGAGAGGAUGAUCAGCCACACUGGAACUGAGACACGGUCCAGACUCCUACGGGAGGCAGCAGUGGGGAAUAUUGCACAAUGGGCGCAAGCCUGAUGCAGCCAUGCCGCGUGUAUGAAGAAGGCCUUCGGGUUGUAAAGUACUUUCAGCAGUGAGGAAGAUGGUUCAUUUAAUACGCUCAUCAUUUGACGUUAGCUGCAGAAGAAGCACCGGCUAACUCCGUGCCAGCAGCCGCGGUAAUACGGAGGGUGCGAGCGUUAAUCGGAAUUACUGGGCGUAAAGCGCAUGCAGGUGGUUUGUUAAGUCAGAUGUGAAAGCCCGAGGCUCAACCUCGGAAGGUCAUUCAAAACUGCUGGACUAGAGUACGAUAGAGGGGGGUAGAAUUUCAGGUGUAGCGGUGAAAUGCGUAGAGAUCUGAAGGAAUACCGGUGGCGAAGGCGGCCCCCUGGAUUGAUACUGACACUGAGGUGCGAAAGCGUGGUAGCAAACAGGAUUAGAUACCCUGGUAGUCCACGCCGUAAACGAUGUCAACUAGCUGUUGGAGGACUUGAUCCUUUAGUGGCGCAGCUAACGCGAUAAGUUGACCGCCUGGGGAGUACGGCCGCAAGGUUAAAACUCAAAUGAAUUGACGGGGGCCCGCACAAGCGGUGGAGCAUGUGGUUUAAUUCGACGCAACGCGAAGAACCUUACCUACUCUUGACAUCCUCAGAACUUUCCAGAGAUGGAUUGGUGCCUUCGGGAACUGAGUGACAGGUGCUGCAUGGCUGUCGUCAGCUCGUGUCGUGAGAUGUUGGGUUAAGUCCCGUAACGAGCGCAACCCUUGUCCUUAUUUGCCAGCACGUAAUGGUGGGAACUUUAAGGAGACUGCCGGUGACAAACCGGAGGAAGGUGGGGACGACGUCAAGUCAUCAUGGCCCUUACGGGAUGGGCUACACACGUGCUACAAUGGUACAUACAGAGGGCAGCGAGACCGCGAGGUGGAGCAAAUCCCAGAAAGCCGGUCGUAGUCCGGAUUGGAGUCUGCAACUCGACUCCAUGAAGUCGGAAUCGCUAGUAAUCGUAGAUCAGAAUGCUACGGUGAAUACGUUCCCGGGCCUUGUACACACCGCCCGUCACACCAUGGGAGUGGGAUGCAAAAGAAGUGGCUAGUCUAACC